rnacentral:rRNA from 1 species
GAUGAACGCUGGCGGCGUGCCUAAUACAUGCAAGUCGAGCGAACGGACGAGAAGCUUGCUUCUCUGAUGUUAGCGGCGGACGGGUGAGUAACACGUGGAUAACCUACCUAUAAGACUGGGAUAACUUCGGGAAACCGGAGCUAAUACCGGAUAAUAUUUUGAACCGCAUGGUUCAAAAGUGAAAGACGGUCUUGCUGUCACUUAUAGAUGGAUCCGCGCUGCAUUAGCUAGUUGGUAAGGUAACGGCUUACCAAGGCAACGAUGCAUAGCCGACCUGAGAGGGUGAUCGGCCACACUGGAACUGAGACACGGUCCAGACUCCUACGGGAGGCAGCAGUAGGGAAUCUUCCGCAAUGGGCGAAAGCCUGACGGAGCAACGCCGCGUGAGUGAUGAAGGUCCUCGGAUCGUAAAACUCUGUUAUUAGGGAAGAACAUAUGUGUAAGUAACUGUGCACAUCUUGACGGUACCUAAUCAGAAAGCCACGGCUAACUACGUGC